rnacentral:rRNA from 1 species
UACGGAGGGUGCGAGCGUUGUCCGGAAUCAUUGGGCGUAAAGGGCGCGUAGGUGGCCCGGUCAGUCCGUGGUGAAAGCGCGGGGCUCAACCCUGCGUCGGCCAUGGAUACUGCCGCGGCUGGAGCACUGUAGAGGCAGGCGGAAUUCCGGGUGUAGCGGUGGAAUGCGCAGAUAUCAGGAGGAACACCGGUGGCGAAGGCGGGUCUCUGGGCCGAUACUGACGCUGAGGAGCGAAAGCGUGGGGAGCGAACAGG